GAUGAAGAACGUAGCGAAAUGCGAUAAGUAAUGUGAAUUGCAGAAUUCAGUGAAUCAUCGAAUCUUUGAACGCACCUUGCACCCUUUGGUAUUCCGAAGGGUAUGCUCGUUUGAGUGUCAUUGUACUCUCACACUUCUAAUUCCUUUCGGGAUUGGGAGCGGUGGACUUGGGUGUUGCUGCUUUAGUUGUGGCUCACUUCAAAUAAGUUAGUGCAACUCUUGGUUGGACAUAGUACGGCGUGAUAAGUGUCUUCGCCGGCGCCUCUGUAAGGAGGGUGGCCGAUCGGGAGCUCUGUGCUUCAAACCGUCUUCGGACAAUCUUUGACAACUUGACCUCAAAUCGAGUAGGACUACCCGCUGAACUUAAGCAUAUCAAUAAGCGGAGGA
rnacentral:misc_RNA from 1 species